rnacentral:rRNA from 1 species
UGAGGAAUAUUGGUCAAUGGGCUGAGGCCUGAACCAGCCAAGUCGCGUGAGGGAAGACGGUCCUAUGGAUUGUAAACCUCUUUUGUCGGGGAGCAACGACGUCACGAGUGACGGAAGUGAGAGUACCCGAAGAAAAAGCAUCGGCUAACUCCGUGCCAGCAGCCGCGGUAAUACGGAGGAUGCGCGCGUUAUCCGGAUUUAUUGGGUUUAAAGGGUGCGUAGGCGGACUGUUAAGUCAGCGGUAAAAACUUCGGGGGCCCAACCCCGUCAUGCCGUUGAAACUGGCGGACUAGAGUGGGCGAGAAGUAUGCGGAAUGCGAGGUGUAGCGGUGAAAUGCAUAGAUAUCACGCAGAACUCCGAUUGCGAAGGCAGCAUACCGGCGCCCGACUGACGCUGAGGCACGAAAGCGUGGGGAUCGAACAGGAUUAGAUACC